UACGAAGGGGGCUAGCGUUGCUCGGAAUUACUGGGCGUAAAGCGCACGUAGGCGGUCUUUAAGUCGGGGUGAAAUCCUGGGAGCUCAACUCCAGAACUGCCUUCGAUACUGGAAGACUUGAGUCCGGGAGAGGUGAGUGGAACUGCGAGUGUAGAGGUGAAAUUCGUAGAUAUUCGCAAGAACACCAGUGGCGAAGGCGGCUCACUGGCCCGGUACUGACGCUGAGGUGCGAAAGCG
rnacentral:rRNA from 1 species